GUUCAUCCGCGACUGGUCGUUAGAUUGAGAAGGCAAGACUUCUGACAAUAUCAUUUCAGUGACCAGCUUUCAUAAAACAGGAAUAACUGAAGAUGUUUUCCCUGUGUAUUGCCACCGUUGCUGUGUUGUCUCUCUCAACCUUGUCCACGCUCAGGAGACGGGCACCGUUGUGCGUCUUCGUUCCCAAAAUUAUCCCGAUUAUACUUGGGGACUCCAUCCUAACGGCGACGCAUACAUCAAACAAGGCUUCAGUGGAAAUGUUUUCCAUAUUGUCCCCGGGUUAACAAGACAACCAGGUACAGUGUCCUUCAACUCAGUGGCCUACCCGUGCUCCUAUCUCCGUCACUAUAACUUCUUCGUGAACCUCGAAAGUUCAAAGAACCCAAGGAACGCUCACAUCUUCGACAAGGACGCCACGUUCUACCCUCGACCUGACAAAUUUCUUCAAGGAUACACGGCCUACGAGUCGGUGAACUACCCUGGGCACUUCAUCCGCCAUGCUGGCUACAGACUGCAGAUACGUAGAGACGACGGCUCUCUCCUGUUUAAAAAAGAUGCCAGUUUCAAAGUUGAGCCAAUUGGUACGUAGACAGUUAUCUACAACUGAACAUGUAACGAAUUUUGUUGAUCUUCUGCGAAGUUGAUGUGGUGCGCCCAAUCAGCGUUUUGUCUGUGAAACAAGAUGGUAUAGAUGAAAGGAGAGAACUAAAAUAUCAUAAUUUGUUGUCAAAAUUCAUGCGAAAGGGCAUUUUUAAUUAGAGACCGGGUCUCUCUCUCUCUCUCUCAGGUGUGUAUAUAUAUAUGUGUGUGUGUUUGCCAUUGUUUUACAUGCAUAUAUUUUCGGGAAGAAAUUGCAAAGAAUAAUUCUUAUAAUUUCAGAAUUGCUGGAAAGAUGUGGCAGUUAAAUUCCAAAUACCAUAUGGCAAAGGCAGAGACGUUUGAUACACGACCAAAUAAAAUUCCAUAUUAGGUGAAAUUAUAAAUGGAAUAAAAUAGUGUAUUAAACAUUUUAUUGAAGAAUUAUUUUUGGAUACUUUUUUAUUCAAUAAACUAACGAUCUUUUAAAACUGUUGAAAUGGAACAGUGAUCAGUAUAGGGCUUGGCACGGUUCUUGUGUAAAAGAUACAUUUAAACAUUCUAAAUUCACUUUUCCUUGUAACAUAGCAAAACACACGUGAAUUCACACUCUAUUAGCACGUGACGUCACUUUCGCCAGACCGUCGUUUCUUUUAUCAGCUGAGACAACGCUACAUCAAGCCAUGCAAGUAAACAAUGAAUGUUUCACGUAGGCGCGGUCUUUAACAAACAAAUUUGGUUUGUUUUACAUGCUAUUUUUGAGCAAGUGAAUCUUAUAGUGUAUUAGGAUUUAAACCUACAUAUAUCUAAAAAAUUGCGGAAACUAAAAUAUAGUCUGUCUGAACAGUAAUUCUAUUAGAUUAUUGUAAUCCAACACAAUAAGAUCUUUGUAUUGUUCUAUCCCCAUUUAUAGUAUGAGGAACCAUAUCAAUAUUAAAACUUGAAAAUUUGUCCCAUUUCACGGUGUGCUAGUUGUGGUAGGUAACAUUUGCUGUGUUAGAUGGGCCCCAUUUUAAUUGCACUGGCCUGCAAGCAUAUUUAUUUUUAAAUAUAUCACAAAACUUUUAAGAAAAGUAUGCCAAUGGAUAUUAAAGAAUAACCGAGGCAUCCUAUUUCCCCACACAACCACCACGGUGCGACGCUCUUGGAUAUGCAAAUAAUAGUUUUUACACACAAGUCGUCUAAUUCGGAAAGAAGUGCAUUAAAUUAAUUCAAAUUAAUAUACAUGUAUAUGUUUACCUUACAUACUUAUCCCCCAAUAUUAUAAUCAAUACAAAACGUUUUAUUAAUGAUAUAUGCUUCUCAAAAUUUGCGUGGAAUCAGAUAUGGCAGCUGUAAGUGACCCUUUACCAGGGUGGCAGAUUAUAUAGGAAAAAAGGGGAAAAACCAGAGAUACAUGUAGUAAAAU
rnacentral:lncRNA from 1 species